rnacentral:rRNA from 1 species
AGGACGAACGCUGGCGGCGCGCCUAACACAUGCAAGUCGAGCGAGAACCAGGGCUUGCCCUGGGGAAAGCGGCGAACGGGUGCGUAACACGUGAGCAACCUGCCCCAAAGACCGGGACAACCCGAGGAAACUCGGACUAAUACCGGAUGCCCUCACCGGGCCGCAUGGUCUGGUGAGGAAAUGGAUUCCGCUUUGGGAUGGGCUCGCGGUCUAUCAGCUUGUUGGUGGGGUAACGGCCUACCAAGGCGACGACGGAUAGCUGGUCUGAGAGGACGAUCAGCCACACUGGGACUGAGACACGGCCCAGACUCCUACGGAGGCAGCAGUGGGGAAUCUUGCGCAAUGGGGGAAACCCUGACGCAGCGACGCCGCGUGCGGGAUGAAGGCCUUCGGGUUGUAAACCGCUUUCAGCAGGGACGAAAUUGACGGUACCUGCAGAAGAAGGCCCGGCCAACUACGUGCCAGCAGCCGC